CUGCGGGGUCACCUGAGGGGCGUGGCCUCCCACCCCGUGGCCAAUCACGGCCUGCAGCGCCUCCUGGACCACGCCCCCGAGGACGUGGUGGAGGAGGUGCUGUCGGAGCUGGGCCCCGCCCUGGAGGAGCCGCUGGCCCGGGGCCACCCCGGGGUGGUGCUGGCCCUGCUGGGGGCGGCCCUGAGGCACCCCCGGCUCCAGGGGGAGGUGCUGCGCUGGCUCUUCCAGGCCUUGCGCUGCUGGGCCCCGCCCCACCACCCCCAUUGCGUCGCCGCCCUGGCCAAGCUCCGCCCCCUGGAGGGCGGGGCCAGCACCGAGGGGGCGGAGCUUCAGGUAAGGGGCGGGGCUUUUUCAGGGGU
rnacentral:lncRNA from 1 species